GAUGAACGCUCGCUGUGUGCCUAAUACAUGCAUGUUGAACGGGAUGUAGCAAUACAUUCAGUAGCGAAUGGGUGAGUAACACGUACCUAACCUACCUUUAAGACUGGGAUAACUAUUGGAAACAAUAGCUAAUACCGGAUAUAGUUAUUUAUCGCAUGAUGAGUAAUAGAAAGGAGCUUCACAGCUUCACUUAAAAAUGGGGGUGCGGAACAUUAGUUAGUUGGUAGGGUAAUGGCCUACCAAGACGAUGAUGUUUAGCCGGGCCGAGAGACUGUACGGCCACACUGGGACUGAGAUACGGCCCAGACUCCUACGGGAGGCAGCAGUAAGGAAUUUUCCACAAUGAGCGAAAGCUUGAUGGAGCGACACAGCGUGCAGGAUGAAGUUCUUCGGAAUGUAAACUGCUGUUAUAAGGGAAGAAAAAAUAGAAUAGGAAAUGAUUUUAUCUUGACGGUACCUUAUUAGAAAGCGACGGCAAACUAUGUGCCAGCAGCUGCGGUAAUACAUAGGUCGCAAGCGUUAUCCGGAAUUAUUGGGCGUAAAGCGUCCGUAGGUUUUUUGCUAAGUCUGGAGUUAAAUGCUGAAGCUCAACUUCAGUCCGCUUUGGAUACUGGCAAAAUAGAAUUAUAAAGAGGUUAGCGGAAUUCCUAGUGAAGCGGUGGAAUGCGUAGAUAUUAGGAAGAACACCAAUAGGCGAAGGCAGCUAACUGGUUAUAUAUUGACACUAAGGGACGAAAGCGUGGGGAGCAAACAGG
rnacentral:rRNA from 1 species